GACGAACGCUGGCGGCGUGCUUAACACAUGCAAGUCGAACGGAAAGGCCCUGCUUUUGUGGGGUGCUCGAGUGGCGAACGGGUGAGUAACACGUGAGUAACCUGCCCUUGACUUUGGGAUAACUUCAGGAAACUGGGGCUAAUACCGGAUAGGAGCUCCUGCUGCAUGGGGGGGGUUGGAAAGUUUGGGCGGUUGGGGAUGGACUCGCGGCUUAUCAGCUGGUUGGUGGGGUAGUGGCUUACCAAGGCUUUGAAGGGUAGCCGGCCUGGGAGGGUGACCGGCCACAUGGGGACUGAGAGACGGCGCAGACUCCUACGGGAGGCAGCAGUGGGGAAUAUGGCACAAUGGGCGGAAGCCUGAGGCAGCAGCGCCGCGUGCGGGAUGACGGCCUUCGUGUUGUAAACCGCUUUAGCCUGUGACGAAGCGUGAGUGACGGUAAUGGGUAAAGAAGCACCGGCUAACUACGUG
rnacentral:rRNA from 1 species